CCACAAAAAACUAAUCACAAAAAACUAAUAUAAGGUUUUGCAUGAAGGGUGUAUGAACAGAACACUUGAUUGGUUUCUUCUUAUUGAAAAUAGCAUCUGGGCAAACAGAAAGAAGGUCCAAAAAACCACAAGAUAUCCAAAUCAUCCAAAACACCCUCCUUCAAAUAAAAAAAGUUAAAGAAAAAAGGAACAAAAGACUGAAACAACAUUGCACGGACUUCAUUACUGUGUUGGUGGGCAUGCGUCAGGGAAAGCAAGUGAUCUGCGAAUCGCGAGGGAAAGGGUUGCGGUAGUGGUGGCGAAGGAGGGCUGCGGCAGGGAUAUGCGAACCACAAGGGGAGGAAGGCUGUGGCAGGCCGGCGGUGAUCUGUGAAUCAUGAGGGGAAGGGCUGCGACGGUCGUGGUGGCGGUGCCACGAAUCGCGGCGAUAACAACGGUGUAGUGGUGGCGGGGCUGCGAAACACGACAAGGAGGGCGCUGUGGUGGUCCGUGAUGGCUUGACGUCUUCCUCUAUCUGCGAUGCGCGCUUGGAUGUGGUCGGAGAUGCAGACGGCAGCGCGCGCUGCGAUAUGGCUGGU
rnacentral:lncRNA from 1 species